UAGCUAGUUGGUGAGGUAACGGCUUACCAAGGCGACGAUCUGUAGCGGGUCUGAGAGGAUGAUCCGCCACACUGGAACUGAGACACGGUCCAGACUCCUACGGGAGGCAGCAGUGGGGAAUUUUGGACAAUGGGGGCAACCCUGAUCCAGCCAUGCCGCGUGAGUGAAGAAGGCCUUCGGGUUGUAAAGCUCUUUCGGCCGGGAAGAAAUCGCAUGGGCCAAUACCCUGUGUGGAUGACGGCACCGGAAUAAGAAGCACCGGCUAACUACGUGCCAGCAGCCGCGGUAAUACGUAGGGUGCGAGCGUUAAUCGGAAUUACUGGGCGUAAAGCGUGCGCAGGCGGUUUUGUAAGACAGGCGUGAAAUCCCCGGGCUCAACCUGGGAACUGCGUUUGUGACUGCAAGGCUAGAGUACGGCAGAGGGGGGUGGAAUUCCACGUGUAGCAGUGAAAUGCGUAGAGAUGUGGAGGAACACCAAUGGCGAAGGCAGCCCCCUGGGUCGAUACUGACGCUCAUGCACGAAAGCGUGGGUAGCAAACAGGAUUAGAUACCCUGGUAGUCCACGCCCUAAACUAUGUCAACUAGGUGUUGGGUGGGUAAAACCAUUUAGUACCGUAGCUAACGCGUGAAGUUGACCGCCUGGGGAGUACGGCCGCAAGGUUAAAACUCAAAGGAAUUGACGGGGACCCGCACAAGCGGUGGAUGAUGUGGAUUAAUUCGAUGCAACGCGAAAAACCUUACCUACCCUUGACAUGCCAGGAACUUGCCAGAGAUGGCUUGGUGCCCGAAAGGGAGCCUGGACACAGGUGCUGCAUGGCUGUCGUCAGCUCGUGUCGUGAGAUGUUGGGUUAAGUCCCGCAACGAGCGCAACCCUUGUCGUUAAUUGCCAUCAUUUAGUUGGGCACUUUAGCGAGACUGCCGGUGACAAACCGGAGGAAGGUGGGGAUGACGUCAAGUCCUCAUGGCCCUUAUGGGUAGGGCUUCACACGUCAUACAAUGGUCGGUACAGAGGGUCGCCAAGCCGCGAGGUGGAGCCAAUCCCAGAAAGCCGAUCGUAGUCCGGAUUGCAGGCUGCAACUCGCCUGCAUGAAGUCGGAAUCGCUAGUAAUCGUGGAUCAGCAUGUCACGGUGAAUACGUUCCCGGGUCUUGUACACACAGCCCGUCACACCAUGGGAGCGGGUUCCGCCAGAAGUAGGUAGCCUAACCGCAAGGAGGGCGCUUACCACGGCGGGGUUCGUGACUGGGGUGAAGUCGAAACAAGGUAGCCGUAGGGGAACCUGCGGCUG
rnacentral:rRNA from 1 species